rnacentral:tRNA from 1 species
GCGCCACUAGCUCAAUUGGAUAGAGUACCUGACUACGAAUCAGUAGGUUGGGAGUUCGAGUCUCCCGUGGCGCA